UUGACUUGGUCAAAAUCAGAAACAUGUUUUAGGUCGUGUUUUGUGUUCAGUCGAUCAAAAAGGGGCUCCAAGAACAAAAUAGGCGUCGUCCUCUUCACAGAUCGGGAGAGGGAAAAAUCGAGUGAUUAAGCAGCGAACGGAGGUGGUCUCGGUGGUGGUAAUCGAUCGGAAUAAGCGAGUAUCUCCGGUGUUUGGCCGAACCAAAGGAAGGAAGGAACGAGGCAGCGAGAUUUUGCUCUUUCUCUUCCGACAGGCAGAUGCGAAGAGAGGAGGUGAGAUCGGCGACGAGGGGGUUUGUCUUCGGGGUUUGACGAAACCGAAGAGACAGAGGGAAGAUGGGAGGCAGAGAGGAGGUCGAUCGAAAGUAGUGGCAGGUUGGAUCGGUGAGCAGUGGUAGGGAGGUAUAGCUGAUCUCCGGGGAUUCCUCGUAAUUUCGUUUCUCGUCUUCAGCAGUAGAACACAAAGAAGGAGUUGGUGUUCACCAGGAAGAAGGGGAAAACGGGCUUGAUGUCCUCUUGGCUGCUUCGAUCGGCAUCAACAUACGAAGGGGGAGGAAGGACUUCGGUCCUCUGCCUUUGUUUGAUCCAGAUGAGGAAGCAGGUAAAAUCGAUGGGUGUUGUAGAGGUGUUUGGGUUUGUUGUUUGCAUAGGAAAUGGGAAAAAAGAAAAGAAUCGGGAUUGUUAUCCCUUUGAUUUACUGUUUUUACAACACCACCUUAACUGGAACGAAAGAGAAGAAAGAAGGAAACUCGAUGUGGAUUGGUGAUUCACAGCUCUAUUUGAGGAAGGAAAACACGUUUCUUUUUAGUGUUCAGUUCUACAAAACAAGAUCUAGAAGAAAUCAGUGAUGGGUUGUACAACAAUUGUAUAAUUUAUUUGUAUUGUAAUAGUUUCAUUUUUGUAUGUAACGUGUUUGUAUUGAUUUAAUUAAAUAUGUAUUUGUGUA